rnacentral:lncRNA from 1 species
GCCCGCCUUCGGUCCGGGGUUGCGCUGAGGGGCGCGGGGACGGCCUUGUGCUCGGCCUGCCGUUGCCCUCCAGUCUCCUGAGGGCCGAGCUGUCUCCGUGCCCACAGCCCUCGAGCUUGGUGCGGUAACGUGCCGUCCCUGCCUGAUGCGCCGGGAUCAGUCACCCGUCCUGUGAGCGCGGCCGUAAAGUGCCGCCUAUGCUUAGUGCGAAAAACGAAGACGCCCCUUGCGCAACAGUCGUCAUGCUGAUGCACGAGGAGAUAGGAGCAGCAAAAGAUGGAAGAUGCUUUGAUUUCAAGAUCAU